rnacentral:rRNA from 1 species
GACGAACGCUGGCGGCAUGCUUAAUACAUGCAAGUCGAACGCUGAAGCAUUUUGCUUGCAGAGUGCGGAUGAGUGGCGAACGGGUGAGUAACACGUGGGAAUCUGCCUAUAAGUGGGGGAUAACAUUCGGAAACGGAUGCUAAUACCGCAUAUAUUCUCGAACCGCAUGGUUCUUGAAAGAAAGACGGCUUUGCCGUCGCUUAUAGAUGAUCCCGCGGCGUAUUAGUUAGUUGGUGGGGUAAAGGCCUACCAAGACAAUGAUACGUAGCCGACCUGAGAGGGUGAUCGGCCACACUGGGACUGAGACACGGCCCAGACUCCUACGGGAGGCAGCAGUAGGGAAUCUUCCACAAUGGGCGAAAGCCUGAUGGAGCAAUGCCGCGUGAAUGAAGAAGGUCUUCGGAUCGUAAAGUUCUGUUAUUAGAGAAGAACAAGUCAAGGAGUAACUGUCUUGGCUUUGACGGUACCUAACCAGAAAGUCACGGC